GAUUUGGUUAUAAGGGUUCCUGCUUUCACAGAAUUAUUCCAGGAUUUAUGUGCCAGGGUGGUGACUUCACGCGCCACAAUGGCCCUGGCGGCAAGUCCAUCUAUGGGGAGAAAUUUGAUGAUGAGAACUUCAUCCUGAAGCACACAGGCCCGGGCAUCUUGUCCAUGGCAAAUGCUGGGCCAAACACAAACGGGUCCCCGUUUUUCAUCUGCACUGCCAAGACUGAGUGGCUGGAUGGCAAGCACUUGGUCUUCGGGAAGGUGAAAGAGGGCAUGAACACGGUGGAGGCCAUGGAGCGCUUCGGGUCCAGGAACGGCAAGACCAGCAAGAUGAUCACCAUCACCGACUGUGGGCAGCUCUAACGCGUGUGACUUGUGUGUGUUGCCACCGCCAGACCAGACCAUUCCUCUAGCUCAGGAGAGCACCCUGUGCCCUGCCUGCUCAAAACGCACCAUCAUCUCUGCUCUUCUUGCAGUUCUUUGGGUUCCAUGUUUUCCUUGCUCCCCUCCAAAUGUACCUGGAUUGCAGAGUUAAGUUUAUGGUUAUGAAUAAAGCUAAAU